GUAGUGGUAGUUCAAUGGUAAAAUUCUCAACUUCUGUGCUGGAGACCCAGGUUCAAUUCCUGGCCAAUGCA
rnacentral:tRNA from 1 species